CAAUAGCGUAUAUUAAAGUUGUUGCAGUUAAAAAGCUCGUAGUUGGAUUUCGGGAUGGUCGUGUUGGUCCGCCAUUUGGUGUGUAUCGGCCCGUCCAUUCUUUCCUUCCGGGGACCACGUCUGUACUUUACUGUGCGGGCGUGGGAAUCGGGACGUUUACUGUGAAAAAAUUAGAGUGUUCAUAGCAGGCCAAUGCCUUGAAUACAUUAGCAUGGAAUAAUAGAAUAGGACUUUGGUUCUAUUUUGUUGGUUUCUAGGACCGGAGUAAUGAUUAAUAGGGAUAGUUGGGGGCAUUAAUAUUUAAUUGUCAGAGGUGAAAUUCUUGGAUUUAUGAAAGAUUAACUUCUGCGAAAGCAUUUGCCAAGGAUGUUUNCAUUA
rnacentral:rRNA from 1 species